rnacentral:miRNA from 1 species
GCCAAGCAUAAUUGGGGUGGGCAGUGGCAAGGAGCAAGGGGAGGGGGUAACUUUAGCAAGGGGGAAAUGGUUUGAGGUGUGUAAGAUUCUCCCUUGCUAAACUUACCCCCUCCCCUUGCUCCUUGCCUUUGUUCUUGGAGAAAGUUAGG